rnacentral:misc_RNA from 1 species
CAUAGGGCUGUCUCUUCACUCUCCCACCCGUCAUUGAACAUGUCGUGGUCGGGAUGCUUCCGAUCGGUUGCCUGUGCGGUUCUACCCUCUUGUGGGUAGCGAACUCGUCCCUUGAUGGAUAUAUGCUUGCCCUUGUGACAUUUUUGUGUCGUUUGGGCAGCCGAAAUGUUGGCGAUAUCCUUGUGUUGGCGCGUGGUUGAAUGAUGUGUUGCUAUCACUUGGAUUUUUGCCGGCUCUCACGGAUGCGGUGCCUAGCGCUAGCUCUGCGGGACUUUGCCCCGCAGACUUCGGGAGGUCCCUUGUACGAAUCAUUGCUCUUAUACGCCGUCUUGUCGUGCCGCUACCGUGGCACGCAGAUCGUGUUCUUUCGUGCAGUCGUUGACAGCACGAAAGCGAACAUUAGUGUCCGGAGCGUGGUCUUGUGCACGUGGAAUGCCUCUCCGAUCGUAUGAGUAGCGA